AUUGCCCCAGUAACGGCGAGUGAAGCGGCAAAAGCUCAAAUUUGAAAUCCUUCGGGAGUUGUAAUUUGUAGGUGGAAGAUUCCGCAGCCAUCGAGAUAAGUCCCUUGGAACAGGGCGCCUUGGAGGGUGAGAGCCCCGUAAUCUCUUUUUGGCUUGUCAACAUCUUCCUCCCAAGAGUCGAGUUGUUUGGGAAUGCAGCUCUAAGUGGGUGGUAAAUUCCAUCUAAAGCUAAAUACCGGCGAGAGACCGAUAGCGAACAAGUACAGUGAUGGAAAGAUGAAAAGCACUUUGAAAAGAGAGUGAAACAGUACGUGAAAUUGUUGAAAGGGAAGGGCUUGCAAGCAGACACGGCCUCGGCCGGGCCAGCAUCGGUUGCGCAGGGUGGACAAGGAGCCAGGAACGUAGCUCACUCGUGAGUGUUAUAUCCGGGCGCGAUACACCCACGCGCGACCGAGGCCUGCGGUAUUCUAGGAUGCUGGCGUAAUGGUUGCAAGCC
rnacentral:rRNA from 1 species